rnacentral:lncRNA from 1 species
GUUGUGUUUGCUGAAUUAUUAGGUUUUAACAGAUUGUCGGUUCUAAUUAUGCAUCUGUUUGUUGUUGAUCAAUCAGAAGCAGAAUUUAAAAAAAUCCUUAAAGACAAAAAAGGCAUCUUGUAAAGCAUUGAAAAAGCAAAAUCACAAAAAUACUGAAUACAAAAAUACUGAACUCUGAAGAAAAUUCUAAACGGAAAGUCCAUAAGCAAAUGGCAAUAUCAAAAGCUCAAACACAUCAAACGAAUAAGCCAAGUGUUCAAUUCAAAGAUUAACAUUUUGAUUGACUAACAGAAACCUUUUUCUGACCGAAAUCACACCAAACG